UUUACUUGAGCCACUCGCAUCCCGCAAAAUGGCCACACCAGAGCCGGAGAAGAUUUGACAAUUAGCCGCCUUAGGCCUUUUACACAGAAACCCAGCAAGGUGGUGUAAAAUGAGCCAAUACAUAUUGAGCAGUAUUGAAGUAGGCGCAGUGCCACACAACAGUCUUGAGGUGCCGUUUGUUUCGUUUUUUUAGCAUAUGCUACAAAGACCAACCGUAUCUGCACUGAAAAAAA